GGGGCCGGGGCCGGGGCCGGGGCCGGGGCAGGGCCAGGUGUGCAGGUGUGCGCGGCGUCGGCCUCAGCCUGCUCCUGCUGCAGCGCGAGCGCUCGGCACAGCCCCGGCGGAGGCGGAGGCGGAGUGCUCGUCGCGGUGAAAUGGCACAGAUCCGAGCGCGGAGAUCUCGGCGAUGGCCCGAGUUGUUUGCAUGGGAUGUACGAUCGUAGGUGCAAGUGACUCUUCACAUGUGGGAUGGGGAAAAUGAUAGCUCUCCCAGAUGAUCUAGAAAGAGCAAGUCACAGUUGCAGCGCGUGCAAAAGACCACAUGAGCCAUCUUCUGAGAAGAGCAGAAGGCAAAGUGUGCCAAGUGCAAUGAAGCAUACUUGGCCUCUUCUGAAAGAAAAGACGCAUCUUCUGAAAGCAAAAAUGCACUUUCAUAUAUGGGGAGAGUAGAAAUAAUAACAAGACUCAACCUGGACAAAUGCAAAGACAUAUCUUAAGAAAUUGUAUUCAGGCUUUUCUGCAAGUGUUUUCACAGUUGGGUGGACAAUUGGAAAAGUAAAGGCUGGAGAACAAGCACAGGAAGAAGUGGAAUAAACAAAGAGGACUUUGAAAGACUUGGCAAGCUUACAGAGGGCAUGGAAAUAAAAUGGAUACAUAUUCCUGGUCAUGCUGGCUUUAUAGGUGUGCGGGCCAGGAGUGAUCCAGGCCCUUUUUCGCGCCGCGCGGGCUGUGGCCAGAAGCCCGGGCACGCUGGGUCAGAGAAAAC